GACGAACGCUGGCGGCGUGCCUAAUACAUGCAAGUCGAGCGCAGGAAAUCGACGGAACCUUUCGGGGGGAAGUCGACGGAAUGAGCGGCGGACGGGUGAGUAACACGUAAAGAACCUGCCCUCAGGCCUGGGAUAACCACGAGAAAUCGGGGCAAAUACCGGAUGGGUCAUCGGACCGCAUGGUCCGAGGAUGCAAGGCGCUUCGGCGUCGCCGGGGGAUGGCUUUGCGGUGCAUUAGCUAGUUGGUGGGGUAAUGGACCACCAAGGCGACGAUGCAUAGCCGACCUGAGAGGGUGAUCGGCCACACUGGGACUGAGACACGGCCCAGACUCCUACGGGAGGCAGCUGUAGGGAAUCUUCCACAAUGGACGAAAGUCUGAUGGAGCAACGCCGCGUGAACGAUGAAGGCCUUCGGGUCGUAAAGUUCUGUUGUAAGGGAAGAACAAGUGCCGCAGGCAAUGGCGGCACCUUGACGGUACCUUGCGAGAAAGCCACGGCUAACUACGUGCCAGCAGCCGCAGUAAGAC
rnacentral:rRNA from 1 species